AGCAGCCGCGGUAAUUCCAGCUCCAAUAGCGUAUAUUAAAGUUGUUGCAGUUAAAAGCUCGUAGUUGAAUUUCGGGAUUGACACAUCGGUCGUGCCUUAAGGGGUAUGAACUGGUGUAGUCAAUUUCUCACCUUCUGGAGAACCGCGAUGCCCUUAAUUGGGUGUCACGGGGAACCAGGACCUUUACUUUGAAAAAUUAGAGUGUUUAAAGCAGGCAUUUUGCUUGAAUACAUUAGCAUGGAAUAAUAAAAUAGGACGGCAUGAUUCUAUUUUGUUGGUUUCUAGGAUCACCGUAAUGAUUAAUAGGGAUAGUUGGGGGCAUUAGUAUUCAAUUGUCAGAGGUGAAAUUCUUGGAUUUAUUGAAGACUAACUACUGCGAAAGCAUUUGCCAAGGAUGUUUUCAUUAAUCAAGAACGAAAGUUAGGGGAUCGAAGACGAUCAGAUACCGUCGUAGUCUUAACCAUAAACUAUGCCGACUAGGGAUCGGAUGAUGUUAAUUUUUAAUGUACUCA
rnacentral:rRNA from 1 species